rnacentral:rRNA from 1 species
GAUGAACGCUGGCGGCGUGCCUAAUACAUGCAAGUCGAGCGAACAGAUGAGGAGCUUGCUCCUCUGACGUUAGCGGCGGACGGGUGAGUAACACGUGGAUAACCUACCUAUAAGACUGGGAUAACUUCGGGAAACCGGAGCUAAUACCGGAUAAUAUAUUGAACCGCAUGGUUCAAUAGUGAAAGACGGUUUUGCUGUCACUUAUAGAUGGAUCCGCGCCGCAUUAGCUAGUUGGUAAGGUAACGGCUUACCAAGGCAACGAUGCGUAGCCGACCUGAGAGGGUGAUCGGCCACACUGGAACUGAGACACGGUCCAGACUCCUACGGGAGGCAGAGGUAGGGAAUCUUCCGCAAUGGGCGAAAGCCUGACGGAGCAACGCCGCGUGAGUGAUGAAGGUCUUCGGAUCGUAAAACUCUGUUAUUAGGGAAGAACAAAUGUGUAAGUAACUAUGCACGUCUUGACGGUACCUAAUCAGAAAGCCACGGCUAACUACGUG